UUUUUUUGUUCUUGCUAAAUCUUUCUGAAAUGGUCUUAAUCAAAAUUAAUUAAAGACAUUGAUAAUGUAUGUACACAGAUUUAUUUUGAUAUUUUUUUCAUUGAUAUAAACUGUCUUUUAUUUUGAUAUUAUUUUCAUUGAUAUAAGCUAUCUAGAUGUAAAAUGAGACAUUUAGAAAUUGCCGGUAAUUUGCUGCUUUUGAAGUGUAUCAAGAGUUUCUUAUAUUUUUAGCGUGAGCUUUAUAUGAAAUAAUGAUGUAAUUGUAUAUUUGUAUUAUAAAUUGAACGGAUGAAAUUUGAUUUGAGUGUUGUCGUGAAGCAAUUCCUGAAUGAUUAUUUAACUGAAUCCAUUGCAGUAUUUUAUUUCAUUGUGUAAAUGUUUUAUAAAUGUGUAAAUUAAUUAUUUCAUCUUUUUGGUGUAAAUGUGUUGCUAUGAACAUUAUGAAAGUGAUGUUUACUUGCACUUGUUUGAAGAUAUAUUAUGCCCAAAUAGAAGAAAAAACAUGAACAGUAAACUACUUAUUCUCGAAAUAAACAGGAAAUAAACUCAUUCGAGUGUAUAAGCAAUACUGUGAUAGUUUAAAUUAGUUCAAACUAAACAUGGAGGCCUCCAUGGCUGAGUGGUUAAGUUUGCCGACUCCAAAAUCACUUGCCCCUCACAUAUGUGGAUUUGAGCCGCACUAGGCGUUGAAGUCUUUGUGUGAGGAAACCAUCCAGCUGGCGUACGGAAGAAAAUAAACAGGCAUUUGGUGUAUUUAGCAUUUACUAGAAACAUACAGUAUUUUAUUACACGCAUUUUAACAUAGACAUUUUAAAGAAUAAACUAUGUUUGAAUUAAGACCAUCUGCAUGAAGACUGCCUUUAGCUGGGCAUUAAUUGUCAACAAUUUUAUUUGAAUACUUUAUUUACAUAUACAAGUUGUAAUUAUAUUAAGUUAGACUUAGUUCUGUGAAAAAGAGCCUGUUUGAAUUGUCAUGUAUCUAUAAAGAAAUGAAAUAGGAAACAGAUACAUUUCUAAUACCACUGAAUUGAAAAAAAGAUUUAUGUAAAUGAGGUGUAAAAUCUAAGACGUUUUGUCUGGUUUUGCGCCAUAAAACCCCAAUUAACAAUAGAAAAUCAAAACAGAUUCUUAACACUGGAAAAAUGUAGAUUUCUUUAUUUGUAGCGAAAACUGAACGUUCCACCAACUAUUGUUGUAGAAGUAUAAAUAGUGUUUAAGAUGUAAUGAAUUUUGUGUUUGUGUGGUCAUUUAUUGUAAGUGGAUUUAGAAAUAUGAGGCAUUGUAUUUAGAGUUAUGGAACUUCUCUUUAAAAUGUUGGGAGUUUCAUCUGUAUUGUUGCCCUUGAAACAAUAUUUGCUGUGGAUUAAAUCCAUACAUAAAUUUGAUUCAAUAAAAUGAUUAUUUAUGCG